rnacentral:rRNA from 1 species
GACGAACGCUGGCGGCGUGCUUAACACAUGCAAGUCGAACGGAAAGGCCCUGCUUUUGUGGGGUGCUCGAGUGGCGAACGGGUGAGUAACACGUGAGUUACCUGCCCUUUACUUUUGGAUAACUUCAGGAAACUGGGGCUAAUACCGGAUAGGAGCUCCUGCUGCAUGGUGGGGGUUGGAAAGUUUCGGCGGUUGGGGAUGGACUCGCGGCUUAUCAGCUUGUUGGUGGGGUAGUGGCUUACCAAGGCUUUGACGGGUAGCCGGCCUGAGAGGGUGACCGGCCACAUUGGGACUGAGAUACGGCCCAGACUCCUACGGGAGGAAGAAGUGGGGAAUAUUGAAAAAUGGGCGGAAGCCUGAUGCAGCAACGCCGGGGGCGGGAUGAGGGCCUUCGGGUUGUAAACCGCUUUCGCAUGUGACGAAGCGUGAGUGACGGUAAUGGGUAAAGAAGCACCGGCUAACUACGUG